UGGGUAACCUGCCUCAAAGAGGGGAAUAGCCUCCCGAAAGGGAGAUUAAUACCGCAUAAUAUGUUUAAGUCGCAUGACUUUAACAUCAAAGGAUUUUCUUUUAGAAAUUCCACUUUGAGAUGGACCCGCGGCGCAUUAGCUAGUUGGUGAGGUAACGGCUCACCAAGGCAACGAUGCGUAGCCGACCUGAGGAGGGUGAUCGGCCACAUUGGAACUGAGACACGGUCCAGCUCCGUAGGACG
rnacentral:rRNA from 1 species